rnacentral:rRNA from 1 species
GCCUGGGACUCCCUCCUCCAAGACAUCGCACUUAUGCCGAUGAACGUCGUGGAGGACCGGGAUGUUCUUUCCUGGAGCCUCGAGCCCUCUGGCCGUUUCUCCACGAAGUCCCUAUACGGCGCCAUUGCUCCCUCGACGGCCCCAGAACCGUUUAGCCUGAUCUGGGACAUCCGACUUCCGCUGAAGAUCAGGAUCUUCCUGUGGCAAUGGAUCCGUGGACGUCUCCCCUGUGCGGUUGAAGUCCUCAAGCGUAAUGGCCCGGGUGAUGGGAUGUGCCCCAUCUGUGGCACGAUUGAGGAUGCUAACCACAUCUUUUUCUCGUGCUACUCUGCCCAGUUCCUUUGGGCCUGCUUCCGCGAAAUGGUUGGUGGACAGUGCUGUAAUACCAACUUCCCCGACCUGCUUGCCGAGCUUAACGCUUCCCCUACUCGCUACUGCCAUAUUAGAUGGUUGUGCGUUGGGGUUCUUGCCUAG